rnacentral:rRNA from 1 species
CAGUAGCCGCGGGAACACGGAGGAUCCAAGCGUUAUCCGGAAUCAUUGGGUUUAAAGGGUCCGUAGGCGGUCUUGUAAGUCAGUUGUGAAAGCCCAUCGCUCAACGGUGGAACGGCCAUUGAUACUGCAGGACUUGAAUUAUUGGGAAGUAACUAGAAUAUGUAGUGUAGCGGUGAAAUGCUUAGAGAUUACAUGGAAUACCAAUUGCGAAGGCAGGUUACUACCAAUUGAUUGACGCUGAUGGACGAAAGCGUGGGUAGCGAACAGGAUUAGAUACCCCUGUAGUCCCUGUCUCUUAUAC